AGUUCACCCAGCUUCACUCCUCACGUUCCCGCCAAAAAGUUUCAUAAGCCUUUGACAGCUGUAGCAGUUCCAUUUUUCCAAUACAAAAUGGCGAAAAUUUCUUAGUAUACAAUCAAAUUUAUGAAGGGGAGAAUUUAUAAAGAGUACCGUAUUGUGGGAUUAGUUGAAAAAGUGUCCAUUUGUAAAUAUUAAAACAAGUUGCGAGUGAAGUGUGUUGGUGAUUGCAGAUCUCAGAGGUAUCAAAUUGUGAAUGAACCACUCAUUUGAAGACAUGAGCACAAUGUCUUAAUUGUAUCUUACAACGGCUGCACUAACUCUCAAACUGAAACGCACGACUGUAUGUGACAGAAAUAGAAUUAGGUAGGAACGUUGUGCCUACCGUAAGAGCCUAGCAUCUUUCCACCAGUAAGUACUCAAGACGGCGUCAGGAAGUUGAAUGGGAAAAUCGUCAAGAAUACAGCUACUUCUCGGUGAAGUAGGAGAACGUUAGUUAUAGAAGUAGCUUGAGGACAGUUGGGUCGUAAAUCCGUGGACGAGGAGAGAGAGGAAGUAAAUAAGAUGAAGGUUUAUCUAAAAAUUAUAAUUAAAACUACUUUUACGCCUUA